rnacentral:misc_RNA from 1 species
GGCUUUCGUACAUACUUUGGAGAAUUUUUUUGGUGAUUCAUUCUUAGGGUUUCUGGGAAUAGAAAGAAUUAAGCUAAAGAUUCUUUGGUGGUCCUGUUUGAGGUGGUGUGGGAAAUUUAUACCUACCCCUAAUCUGGUUCCUUGUUGCUCUUAUACUGAUUUUCAUUGUAAAUUAAUUCCCACUUUUUUAUUUAUAAUUCUUUGUUCAUGUUAGUUGCAUUGGCUUUAAUUUUUUUUAUCUGCUGGGUUAUGUCACUUCAAGAAUAUGGAACCUUUUGGGUUAGAGAAUUUGUUAGGUUGGUUAUAUAUUGAUUAAUUUAUUUUGGCUUUAUAAUGCAAUGGGUUUCUAUUACAUCAAUCAAUGAGUGUAUUCUUCACUAAUAUUUUAUUUAAGUUAAAUGUCCAAUGUGACAGGCUUACCAGGAUUCAACCA